AACCUUUACACUGCACGACAGUGCGAUAAGGGAAUCCCAAGUGCGUAGGCAUAGAGCCUACGCUUUUGUCCACCGUAGGGAGGUGGACGAAUAAGAGCUGGGCAAGACCGGUGCCAGCCGCCGCGGUAAUACCGGCAGCUCGAGUGAUGUCCAAUAUUAUUGGGCCUAAAGCGUCCGUAGCUGGCCAGCCAAGUUCGUCGGGAAAUCCACCUGCCCAACGGGUGGGCGUCCGGUAGAAACUGCGUGGCUUGGGACCGGAAGGCGCGACGGGUACGUCCGGGGUAGGAGUGAAAUCCCGUAAUCCUGGACGGACCGCCGAUGGCGAAAGCACGUCGCGAAGACGGAUCCGACAGUGAGGGACGAAAGCUAGGGUCUCGAACCGGAUUAGAUACCCGGGUAGUCCUAGCCGUAAACAAUGCCUGCUAGGUGUGGCUCCCACUACGAGUGGGUGCUGUGCCGUAGGGAAGCCGCUAAGCAGGCCGCCUGGGAAGUACGUCCGCAAGGAUGAAACUUAA
rnacentral:rRNA from 1 species